UCUCAAAUACCAUAUUCGAACACGUUAGCACUUAACAGCAUUUUGAUCGAGGCUCAAACUUCCAGCGUUUUAUUGGGUAUUUUCUUUUCUGCUCCUUUUUUUACAGUAGAAUAUUGAUUGGUGAUAGUUUUGGUUGCUGAAAACUUAGAAAAUGGAAAAGUUACAAUUUCUGGGUUUUGGAUUCUCUUUUGUGGAUAAAUAGAGAACAGGUUUAAUUGUAUUUUGAAGCAUCAACUUCUUUCAAGCUUUGGAUUAUGAGUAUAAGUAUUGGGCUUCUAAGUUUUGUCUAAAUUUUGGUGUUUUUCAGCUCUUGAUUGUGUUAGUAUUGAAAGCUUAGCUUGAUUAAGUUGGAGGAGUUUUGAUGGUUUUGCAUACAUCUAAAUUAUUGCACUCCUGAAAGGAUCAUGUAAACUGCUUAUAUGACUAUUGGGUUUUGAUAUUCUCCUGGACUGUUGGAGUUAUUGAGGUCCACGUCUGUUUAAAGUGGAUUAGAAGAACUCAGAGUUGAAGAGGGAUUAGUUGAGAGUGCAAAAUGUAUUGCAAUUUUCUGGAACAUGGAACUGAGUAUGCUAGGCAGGCUGUUAAGGAGGAUGAUGCCGGAAACUAUGCUAAAGCUUUUCAGCUUUACAUGAAUGCAUUAGAGUACUUCCAUACUCAUUUGAAGUAUGAGAAGAAUCAACAAGUUGGAAAAACAAUUAGGCAAAAAUGUAUGGGAUACUUGAAGAGAGCAGAGGAAAUUCGGGCCAUUCUUGAUAAUGUGGGGAGUACAGCCACCUCAAAUGGUUCUGCUGUAGGGGCUGCAGAGCCAAAGAGAAAGCCAAAUCUGAAAGAUGGAGAAGGAAAAGACAAGGAGGAUCUAGAGCAAGCAAAGCUUAGGAUAGGACUUGAUUCUGUUAUCAUUAGGGAGAAACCAAAUGUGAAAUGGAAUGAUGUGGCAGGGCUUGAGAGUGCCAAACAGGCAUUGCAAGAGGCUGUGAUCUUGCCUGUGAAAUUCCCACAAUUUUUUACAGGGAAGAGAAAACCAUGGAGGGCCUUUUUAUUAUAUGGUCCACCUGGAACAGGGAAGUCAUACUUAGCAAAGGCUGUUGCAACAGAGGCAGACUCAACUUUCUUCAGUGUUUCUUCCUCAGACCUUGUUUCCAAAUGGAUGGGUGAAAGUGAGAAGCUAGUUUCAAAUCUUUUCCAAAUGGCUCGUGAUAAUGCUCCUUCCAUCAUUUUCAUUGAUGAAAUUGAUUCAUUAUGUGGUAAACGGGGUGAAGGCAACGAGAGUGAAGCAUCUCGGCGCAUCAAAACAGAACUUCUAGUGCAAAUGCAGGGUAUAGGGAAUGAUGAUCAUAAAGUUCUUGUUCUUGCAGCCACAAAUACACCCUAUGCUCUGGAUCAGGCCAUUCGGAGGCGUUUUGACAAGAGAAUAUACAUUCCGCUCCCAGAUUUGAAGGCAAGGAAACACAUUUUUAAGGUGCAUCUUGGAGAUACUCCGCACAAUUUGACCGAAAGUGAUUUUGAGCACUUGGCUCAGAAAACAGAAAGCUUUUCAGGUUCAGAUAUUUCCAUCUGUGUUAAAGAUGUACUUUUUGAGCCUGUUCGUAAAACCAGAGAUGCUAAAUAUUUCAUGGAGACUUCUGAUGGCAUUUGGUUCCCUUGUGAACCAACUCAACAAGGAGCUGUCAAGAUCACAUUGGAGGAACUUGAUGCACAAGGCCUUGCUUCAAAGAUUCUUCCACCGCCAAUCACAAGAGCAGAUUUUGAUAAAGUGCUGGCAAGGCAGAAGCCAACAGUGAGUAAAGCUGAUCUUGAGGUGCAUGAAAGAUUCACAAAGGAGUUUGGAGAG
rnacentral:misc_RNA from 1 species